ensembl:lncRNA
CACAGUGGCUCGAUACGUUUGCUUCAUGACCUACAGCGCAUGUGUCGAAGCCUCGGGUAUCAGAGGACCAUCACUAUCUCUGGCUGCUGUUGACCUUGUUUUUGGAGUAAAACACGGUGGAAGCUGAAUUAGUGAGGAUGACUCCUGCUCCUGUCAUCUCUAAGCUCCUCACACAUCUUUACCUGCACAUGAAGAAAAUCACUCCUGUAGAAUGCAGAUGUUCAGAGGGAGAUGAUGCCACAUCUGGUCCAGCUGAUGGAAGGUCUUGAAGUUCUCUGACUGGCCUCGACUGAAGAUGGUCGUCUCACUGGAUUUAAGAUGCACAAUGAGGGACGUCUGCAGAGACUGAGAAAGAGUCUCACCACAUCCUGACAUGAGGAAAAAGACUUUAUUGAAGACUACAAUGAGAAAAACUAUCAGACAGCAGACGGCUGCAUUCAAGUGGGUGCUCUGUGUUUGUGUGCAUCUUUGUCUCGUCCUUGUUUUCUGUGUAAGUGGUCUGUUUCGUCCUGUUGGUUUGUAGUGGGUGUUCUGUGUUUGUCUGUAAAUCUUUGUGUGCAGGAGCUGUUACUGGUGGCGAUGGUGGCAAGGUGGACCCAGCGCUGAUUGGCUGUUCACCAUUUUUAAUCUUGGCGGCUGGCAGUGAUGGAGGAGACUGACA